ensembl:lncRNA uncharacterized LOC107679822
GUAACCGUCUAGACGAGAGCGCGUGCUGGGCGUGUUGUCAAAGCACAGGUGCGCACCGCUCGCUCCGCCUGUUCGUGGGACGUCAGAUUCUCGACAGAAAACUGCGGAAGCAAUACGUGGAAAAACUAUUUUAUGCUAUCAGCGUUUCAUUCCACCUGUUGCGAUUUCUUUAUGACGAUUCCUCUUCCUGGUAAUCGAAGUAAAGCAACUGAGGAAAUGUCUUUUGAAGGAAGCAUGUGUAUCUGCCUCUGAAACACAAUGGAAACUCCCUGCCUCCUGUGGGACACCAGAGAACAAACUGCUCACUGGCAAAAGUGUAGCUACAAAAACGACAACAGAAUUGAGGUCAAUAGGGAUAAAGCAUGGUAGCCCUGCUGAUCCUGCUAUAGCUCGAUAGAACAAGUAGAUGCACAGUAGACAGAACAGUAGUAGACUCUCAGGUGGAAUUGGAUUGCGUCGCUGUGUGUAGUGGGGGAGUGUAUGUUGGACCGUUAUGGUGAAGAUGGUUUUCAGAGUUGUGAAGGCUUUGACGAUUGGUCCACGUUCAGCUCUGCGGACUGGACAGAACCCCAGCAACAUGGCAAUGGGUUUUCAGACUGGGGUGCAUUCCAGGACAAUACCAGCAAAGAGGAAUCAACAACCCUACCUGUGGCAGAAGCAGGAACUUCCCAGUUUCCUGAAAACACUGAAAAUGGUGAAAAGGGGAAUCCCUGGUUCAUUUUUAAUGACUGCUUUCAAGUUGAGGGGGCAGAGAAAGACCCUGUCGUGAUGGAAAUCCCUACAUUGUCUGUGCUACAGCAGAGCACAUUAGACAAGCCCUCUCAGUCUGCAGCAAUAUCAAGCAAAGCUGCAAAUUUCUGGUGUCAUCUACAGUCUGGGUCCAAAAUUCUCAGACUAUCAGGUCCCAAACCCAAACUACACUCCCAUGAAGGACUGCUCAAAGCCCUCCAGCUCGGACAGCCUGACGGAAGUGCUGACUCACAGACCACUACUCUUCUUAAUCUUGAACUAGAAGAUCCAGAAGACCCUCCUGGAGCACUUAUUCAAACCAAGCCGAUGCCAUCACAAUGUCAGAACGCACCAGGAUUCUUUUAUCAGAUCUCACGCCAGUGGCUCAGCCAGCACAACAUGAACCUCCUGCCCUACCAGAACAAGAAAGAUCCUCUGCAAUAAUCAACAUCACAUGCACACACACUCUUACAGUUGCACUGACACACACUACUUCAGAAAAUUGAACUUUUAAACAAAGUACGCACUACUGCCUGCAUUCAUUAAUGUGUACGGAAACAAGCACAGGUAAAGUUUUCCAAGCACUUUUUAUAAAUAAAUCCAAGCCUAUUAAAAACUGUGCUUGACAAAAGUACUACUACUGUAUGCACACUAGCUCAGGAAGGAAUUCCUAAGUUACUUGAUGAACACACUUUGCCACAGAUUAAACAUAAAAAGGAGUCUUUUCACAUAAGCAACAGAAGAGAACUAACAAGUGCCUAAAAAAACAAAAUCACUGUAAACCUCAAGUACAGGAAGUUAACGCAGCCAUUUACUUAUUUAUAUAUUCCACUGUCUGCUGCUGCUGCCUAAGCUCAUGGCUUACUGUUUGAACUGACAUCUGAAAUGUUUAAAUGUAUUUGGUAUAUUUAUAUUGGAAAUAUUUAAUAUUUUAAAGAUGAAUAUAUGAAUAUACAGUUCUAUUAGUUGGUGCCCUGCACUUUAGAGCAGUUUGUCUUUUUUUUUAAAAAGCAAUAAAAAGAGACGUUUAAAGCUCUUCAAC